rnacentral:rRNA from 1 species
CGCGUAGGUGGUAGUGAAAGUCUGGGGUGGAAUCUUAGGGCUUAACCCUAAAACUGCCUUGGAAACUUCAUUACUUGAGUCAGUGAGGGGAGGGUAGAAUUCCUGGUGUAGCGGUGAAAUGCGUAGAUAUCAGGAGGAAGGCCGGUGGCGAAGGCGGCCCUCUGGCGCUGAACUGACGCUGAGGCGCGAAAGCGUGGGUAGCAAACAGGAUUAGAUACCCUGGUAGUCCACGCCCUAAACGGUGGGUACUAGGUGUAGGGCUCGUAAGGGUUCUGUGCCGAAGGGAAACCAUUAAGUACCCCGCCUGGGGAGUACGGCCGCAAGGUUGAA